rnacentral:rRNA from 1 species
AUUGAACGCUGGCGGCACGCCUAACACAUGCAAGUCGAGCGGCAGCGAGACUAGUAGCAAUACUAGUUGUCGGCGAGCGGCGGACGGGUGAGUAACACGUAGGAAUCUGCCCUUAAGCGGGGGAUAACCAAGGGAAACUUUGGCUAAUACCGCAUAAUCUCGAGAGAGCAAAGCUGCCCGCAAGGGUGGCACUUGAGGAGGAGCCUGCGUCCGAUUAGCUAGUUGGUGGGGUAAUGGCCUACCAAGGCGAUGAUCGGUAACUGGUCUGAGAGGACGACCAGUCACACUGGGACUGAGACACGGCCCAGACUCCUACGGGAGGCAGCAGUGGGGAAUAUUGGACAAUGGGGGCAACCCUGAUCCAGCGAUGCCGCGUGAGUGAAGAAGGCCUUCAGGUCGUAAAGCUCUUUAGGUUGGGAAGAAGGGUAUUGGCUGAAUAAUCCAGUACUUUGACGGUACCUGGAGAAAAAGCCCCGGCUAACUUCGUGCCAGCCGCCGCCGUAAGAC